GUGACAAGAAUAAAACUCGCCGAGACCUUCCCUUCGUCCAUUUUGGAGCAGCUUCUUCUCUGCUGUGUCGACCACGAGGAGCAUGACUUGCAUGGGCUCAUGGGAAGUUUCGGUGCCCUCUGCUGGGAUGGGUAGACUGAGAUCCGUUAAAUUCAAGGCAUCCUUCUCAUGAACUCCGAGAGCAUGAUGACCAUGGGUUGUGUUGGUAAUUUGCCUCCUUUUGUGGUGUUGGUCAUGGUACAUCAUGAGGAAGUGCCUGCAUGAUGAGCUCUCACCAAAGACCUGGAACUCCCGAGGGCUGUUUUUUGUCCAAGACAGAGUUGCUCAAGUCCUUUUGGUGAUUAUUGGGUUUCACAUCUGUAGUACGCUCAACGGGUGGCACACCUGAUGUGGGGAGUUCACAGGACUGCAGGCGAUUCUUAAACUUCUGCUCCCUUGAACGUAUUGGAGCUGGUAUGUUGAUGGUUCUGUGACUGACUUUAAAGGUCUCUUAAAUUGCAUUUGAGAAGUUGAACUUGCUGAAACCUGACGUUCAUCCCUGUACUACAGAUCUGCUGAACUAAAGUGACUUUUUCCUUUGUAUUUAUUCUGAAGAUUGCAAAAUAAAAGUCUCCUCUGAAUUUGCCAUUUGAAA